rnacentral:rRNA from 1 species
UACGUAGGGUGCAAGCGUUGUCCGGAAUUAUUGGGCGUAAAGGGCGCGUAGGCGGUCCAUCAAGUCUCUCGUGAAAUCCCUCGGCUUAACUGAGGACGUGCGUGAGAUACUGCUGGGCUUGAGUCCGGAAGAGGGUGGUGGAAUUCCCAGUGUAGCGGUGAAAUGCGUAGAUAUUGGGAGGAACACCGGUGGCGAAGGCGGCCACCUGGGCCGGAACUGACGCUGAGGCGCGAAAGCGUGGGGAGCAAACGGG